rnacentral:rRNA from 1 species
GACGAACGCUGGCGGCGUGCCUAAUACAUGCAAGUAGAACGCAGUUGCGAACGGGUGAGUAACGCGUAGGUAACUGCCUGGUAGCGGGGGAUAACUAUUGGAAACGAUAGCUAAUACCGCAGACUACCAGAUGGACCUGCGUUGUAUUAGCUAGUUGGUGAGGUAACGGCUCACCAAGGCAACGAUACAUAGCCGACCCGAGAGGGUGGUCCGCCACCCUGGGACUGGGGCCCGGCCCAGACUCCCUCGGGAGGCAGCAGUAGGGGAUCUUCGGCAAUGGGGGGCACCCUGACCGAGCAACGCCGCGUGAGUGAAGAAGGUUUUCGGAUCGUAAAGCUCUGUUGUUAAGGAAGCGGUACUUACCCAGAAAGGGCCGGCUAACUCCGUGCCAGCAGCCGCGGUAAUAC